rnacentral:rRNA from 1 species
GACGAACGCUGGCGGCAUGCUUAACACAUGCAAGUCGAACGAGUGGCGAACGGGUGAGUAACACGUGGGUGAUCUGCCUUGCACUUCGGGAUAAGCUUGGGAAAAUGGGUCUAAUACCGGAUAGUGCAAGAUGAGCUCGCGGCCUAUCAGCUUGUUGGUGGGGUAAUGGCUACCACGGCGCGACGGCUAGCCGGCCUGAGAGGGUGUACAGCGACAGUGGGACUGAGAGACGGCGCAGACGCCUACGGGGGGCAGCAGGGGUGAAUAUUGCACAAUGGGCGGAAGCCUGUGGCAGCGACGCUGCGUGGGGGAUGAAGGCCUUCGGGUUGUAAACGCCUUUCGACAGGGAAGCGGUACCUGUAGAAGAAGCACCGGCUAACUACGUGCCAGCAGCCGCGGUAAUAC